rnacentral:lncRNA from 1 species
GGGUAAUAUCAAAAAGUGAGUCAAGUCAUUGUUUAUAGUGAAAAUAUGAGCGGACUAUUAUAUUGUGGCAAACACAGCAUUACAGUUGGAACUGAAAAACCUUUUACUGCAGCGGGCUAAAUCAGGGUCACACAGAGUGUUUCUUGGUAGUCUUAAACAAGUGUACUUUGAAACAAAAGUAUUCACCUCAAACACAUGGUUAUGGGCUUAAAAAAAGAAGACACCUGUACAAUGUCAGAUAUAGAGAUGAAAUGUAUUACAUUUUGAGUUUGCAUACAAAUAUUACACUUUAUACAUAUCACAGAAGACUGAAAUAUAACAAAACAGUUUGACAUAGAAACACCAGAUUAUCUGCAGCUUUUUUUUUUUUAAGUGUAUUAAUUAUGAAAUCAUGAAAAAUAUUAGUAACAUUCCACCCAUGAGGCCACUAAGUCAUUUGACUGCAGGAUACUUUGGCUGAAGGAAAUUGCUCAACAGAAUGAAACAAAACACUUGCAAACGGGUUUAAACCUUAACAAAAGUUUUGAACAAGCUAUAUUGCAGCAAUUACUAACAAAGACAAGUGGCUACCAUACCAAAAAUGACAGAAAUAGGCUAAGGUUAUAAGUAGGUCUGUUGUAAAAUAAAUAACAUAUCUUAAACUAAAGACGGAGCUCAAAAUUAAAAGACAGUUAACAUUUAAUUUAGCCAAUGAAAAUGUCUCAACAGAAUUAAACAAAACAGAUUUUGCAUAUUUAAAGAACUGUUUUCGAUUAAUAAAUAGGCUUACAAUAAUAACAAUGAUAUACAAUAAUUAUUAUUAUGAUAAAACUCUGAUGAUUAAACUAAAUGAUUAAACUACAUUUUAGUUCCAAAAUUGCAUCCUACCUGAAUAGGGAGUUGCACAGUAGUCUGCAUUCUUUUUAUCUUAGUCCACUACAAUAUUAAAACUCGUAUAAAAUUCCUCUUGUAGGCUUUUCAAUAUAGACAUCCUCUUUUUCAUCUAACUUUUGGUUGACUUGAAAAAGGCCUCCAUCUUUGCAAGUAUCUGUAGCCUAGGCCAAGCUCCUCUGUUCCUCUCUCUCUCCCUCUCCUCAGCAGCAGGCGCAUGUCUGAGCAAGGCGAGAGAGAUUGGUACUGAAGCGCCAAUUCGGGGUGUAGGCUAUGAUAGACAGCCUCUCCUGGACAAUUUGUCCUGCUACAAUUUUAUUUAUCUGCUUUAAUUUAAAAAAAUCUCAGCCAAAUGCAGGCAAUUACCAGCUAAGGGAACCCAUGGAGCAUUUUCCCAUCAGAGGGUGAUUUGAAAAGUCAUAGUGUUCCAUCAAAUGUACUUGUUGAAGAUAAAAGUAUGUGUGUAAAUAUGUAGUGCACAUGAAAAUUCCCAUGUAUCGAAUAAAUGUACCGGGUUUCCAUCACAUUUUCAAGUCUUACUUAUGGUUUUGUCACAAAACAUGUUGCGUAGCGAAUGUGCCCACUCUGGUAUUGGCGGGUGCGCUCCAGUUCUACUACAUGAUGAGAUUAUUAUGGACAGAAGUGCCAGAUUAUUUUCUUUCUUUUUUCAAAUGGGAGCCAAGCAUUGAUCACCAUGUCACCAAAACAAGAUCCUCGAUAUUUAUUGAAAGCAGCAUCAACUUCAUCACUGUGCAGUUUCACCACCCUGUGAAGUUCAUCUUAACUUAUUGCAUCUGUAUCCUAGUAAACUGCAUGCUUUCCCAUGACGUGGUGACAUUUUUCUAUCAGACAUGUAGGCUACUUUACUCGCAUAAAAAGGUUGAAAGGAAACCUGGUUAAUGUCAAGCCAUUUUGAGGAUGUUGGAAUUCUUGAAUGAAUGUGCGUAUGCCUACAUGAAGCUUUUGAAGUAGCCUAAUCUGAUUCAAACAUCGUGACUGGAUGUGUUUAUGCCAUAUAUAUAAAAGGUAAUACAUCUAAACAGUUACAUGAUACAUAUUUUGGCUAUAUUGAAGCGUUAGGUUCUAGGUGUUUGAAGAAUAGCCGGAGAGGAAGCAGAACGUGUUAAACUUUCCUGGAUAACUGGGCAUGCCGGGAGCAUAUGUGGCCACAUUAUUAUAGGACGACUUGGGUGAAUGAUUAUCUCAACAAACAGCGCAUUCAGUAUCAAAAGUAAAAAUACAGCCAGACUGGCCUGCUACUGUUCCUUUCUAGACCUUACAAACUGCCAAGAGUAGACCCACAACUCAUCCAAAUCUAAUGAAACAUUCAUAUCACAGUGCUUUUGCACUGUUAUUCAAAUGACUCUUUCACUGCAGCAUAGAGUAGGCUAGAAUGUUGACUCAACGCCACAAGAGCAAAGAACAUAUUUCAAACCUUGCAUGCUAGGGGGAGGUAGUUGCAAUAACGUUGGAAUGGUUUAGUCGACUUCCUCAAUAGUUGGUCCAGAAGAUCCACCGCCUCCAGAAACGGCGCCACCUGGUGUUGUAGGCUAGCAUAGGUAGGAUAAUUGUAUUGUCCCUAAACAAGAUCAGUAAGAUUUGAGUUGUGUGCCUCAUGGCUUCACUGUUCUUUCAUGCGCAAUGAUGCACCUGGCCUCUCCGCUGCCUAUCAGCUAAUCCUAUUUGUUCUUGUCCAUUCAUAUAAAAAAGGGCUUUCCUCUGACACCGCCUGGUACAGAGGUCCUGGAUGACAGGAAGCUUGGCCCCAGUGAUGUACUGGGCCGUACGCACUACCCUCUGUAGUGCCUUGCAGUCGGAGGCCGAGCAGUUGCCAUACCUAUAUACCAGUCCUUCACAAUGCCGGGGCUGCACAACUAUCAAGACAGAGUAGUUUAAGAAACCAAUUUACACGAUUCACCAUCAUUCUCUGUGAGUCUCGCUAUAAAGUUAAGAAGUGGGUUGAUCUCUGUGAGAUUGUCUAAUUCCCUCUGACUGAGGAAGGGUCAGUGUGAUGUAGUUUUAUUUAUUUUUAUUUUUAUUGAACCUUAAUUUAACUAGGCAGGUCAGUUAAGAACAAAUUCUUAUAAAUUCGUAUAUACCCACUUGAUGUACAGAUAAACCCACUUUUUGUACAGUUACCUGGGCGUUUUCCUCUCCCUGUUUACUCUGUUACAUCUCUACAGAAUCUACAGAGGGGUUCUGCAGUGCCAGACAGCAGGUACCUCCAGGGCUCCUUUCCCAACAUCCAGAUUUGUCCCCCUGUAUCUAUCCAACAUCAGACAUCCAUCAAGAUGCAUCAUGCUCCUAAAUCUCAUCUACCAUAACAUUCUGGUUAAUUAAGUCUUUUCUAACUAAAUCUUCCCUAAAUGAUUUUCAGUUGUAGGUGUGGUGUCUUAACUAAUGAAGCAACAGUUAUAACAACAUUCAUCGGUCUUUGUACUUGGCGACUUCAACCUCCCGACGUCUGCCUUCGAUUCAUUUCUUUCCAACGCUCUCUUUCCCCUCCUUGCCUCUUUUGACCUCACCCUUUCCCAAUCCCCUCCAACUCACAAGAUGACAUCCUGCGACUAGUGAGGUCUGGCCGCCUGACAAUCUGCCUGCUUGACCCCAUCCCCUCCUCCAGACCAUCUCUGGAGGCCUUCUCCCACUCCUCACUUCCCUCACUUCCCUCAUCAACUCAUCCCUGACCACUGGCUGUGUCCCCUCUGACUUCAAAAUGGCCCGAGUUGCUCCCCUCCUCAAGAAACCAACACUCGACCAACAUCUGACAUCCAAACAACAUCUGACGUCAAAAACUAUAGACCUGUAUCCUUUCUUUUUUAUCUUUCCAAAACACUUGAGCGUGCUGUCUCUGAUCAACUUUCUCGUUAUCUCUCUCAGAACAAUCGUCUUGACUCUAGCCAGUCAGGCUUCACGACGGGUCACUCAAUCGAGACUGUUCUUCUCUGUUACGGAGGCUUUCCGCACUGCCAAAGCUGACUCUUCUCUGUUCUCAUCCUCCUAGAUCUAUCCGCUGCCUUCGACUCCGUGAACCAUCAAAUCCUCCUCUCCACCCUUUCAGGGAUGGGUAUCUCAGGCUCUGCAGACUCUUGGUUUGCAUCCUACCUGGCAGGCCGCUCCUACCAGAUGACGUUGAGAGGAUUUGUGUCUGCACCACGGACUCUCACUACUGGUGUCCCCCAGGGCUGUGAGAUGUGGUUGUCCCACCUAGCUAUCUUAAGAUGAUAGCACUAACUCUCCUUCAUUAGGCUCGGCGUAUCCCAGUCCCUUAGUGAUGACGCGACAGAUGAUUCCUCCAUCCUCCCUUGUAACUCAAACAGCUCCAUCUAACACACACAAACAAAAUAUUCAUUUAAGCGCUCUCACAAAGUCACACAUGUCAAUGUUGACUGAAUGUGUAGCUAAAAAACAAACUCUCUCAAUCCCUCACAGACAGACCUGGAAGACGUGGUUGGGGGGUAUCUUUGGGGGGACUGCCGUAGUCGUACUCUGGUUGUACUUCUUUCAUAGUAACCACUCCCAGGUAUCACAACUUGAUUGCAUGACGCACACACACACACACACACACA